AAGUCCACAUAGAAGAUUUUAUUAUUUAUUUACAUGUUAAUAUACCUGUAAACAUUUUAAUUUGAUCAUUUUGUGUUUAUUCUAAACUGUUGAUUUAAUAAAGUUCAUGUUUUAUGUCAAAAGAAUGUGCUUGUGUUCAUUGGCUCGUUCUGUUCAUUUGGCCAAACUUGUACGUUGUUAAAAUGGAUCUUAAAGAUAUAAGCUGUUAUGUUUACAAAAAAAUGGAUAUCAUUGGUAUAAAUUUUCUCUGUACCUCAUUUGUUCCAAUUAAUCUGCUGUUUGAGUUUCUGCUAUUUUUGUUUUUGUUCAGAGAAUAAAAGUGUGCAAACUGAUCUUGAGCGUGGAGCGUGAUGGGAGGGUUUAGGGAAGUUCUGCUUGUUUGAGCAGAGAAUAGUGGCAUUAUUCCACAGGAAAAGGAAACGGCUCAGUUUGCAAACCCGGUGACACCUAAAGACCUUUGGUUCUGUGAACUCUGUGUUCAGACCAGUGCUGUAGAGACACAAACAACAUGUUUAAUGUGGGAGCUUCGCUCUAGUGUUUUUCAGGGUACAUGCGUCUCUUUCAGAAUCUUAUGAGAGGUGAGUUAUGAAAAGCAUCCAGGAAUCUCACUCAUAAAGUAAACAUGUCUGAACUUUGGUUGAUGUAAUGCAUGAGGAAUGUCAGUCUUACAGCUGUAGGAGACAUGGAAGCACAACUACAGCCAUUCGUUAGGACUGUCCUGCUUCUGCACGUCUGCUAUGACUGAUUCUGCAUGAGAUCUUUGUAUGUUUAUGUAGAUUGUUUUUCACGGCUCUCUGGAAUUCUUGAUUCUGAUUGGCCAGUUGCAGAUUGUAUUUUUAGUUUUAUUUCUUAUUUAAAUAAAUGCUAUUCUUUUGAACUUUCUAUUCAUCAAUGAAUAAAAAAAAAACUGUUUACGCAAAAAUAUUAAGCAGCACAGCUUAAUUCAAAAUUAAGAAAUUAAUUCAAAAAUAAGAAAUGUUUGUUGAGCAGCAAAUGACAAAUUGAGAUUAUGGUGGAUGUAAUGCCUGCAAUAUUUAGAUUAGUAAAUUACUUUUUAACAUUUACAUUUCUUGGCUACCAUAAAUGAUACAUGAACUUUAUAAUUUAAAUAAUUUAAAAUUUCUUUUAUUUAGCAUUUGUGUCUUUUUUAUUUGUAUUUCUGUUUCAAAUAAAUGCUUUAAAAAUUCACAGUUUUCACAAAAUAUUAAUAAUAUUAUUUAUUAAUUAUUAAUAAAUAAUUAUACUUCUUUCCUUUUUAUCAUUUAUUGGCAACCAUAAAGAAUCUAGACA
ensembl:lncRNA